rnacentral:rRNA from 1 species
UACGGAGGGUGCAAGCGUUAAUCGGAUUUAUUGGGCGUAAAGAGGGUGUAGGCGGGAGCGUAAGUCAGAUGUGAAAUUCCGGAGCUCAACUUCGGAGCUGCAUUUGAAACUGCGUUUCUUGAGGGUAGGCGGAGAAAACAGAAUUCCACAAGUAGCGGUGAAAUGCGUAGAUAUGUGGAAGAAUACCGGUGGCGAAGGCGGUUUUCUAGCUUAUUCCUGACGCUGAGACCCGAAAGCUGGGGGAGCAAAC